UACGAAGGGGGCUAGCGUUGCUCGGAAUCACUGGGCGUAAAGCGCACGUAGGCGGAUCUUUAAGUCAGGGGUGAAAUCCCAAGGCUCAACCUUGGAACUGCCUUUGAUACUGGGGAUCUCGAGUCCGGAAGAGGUUGGUGGAACUGCGAGUGUAGAGGUGAAAUUCAUAGAUAUUCGCAAGAACACCAGUGGCGAAGGCGGCUCACUGGCCCGAUACUGACGCUGAGGCACGAAAGCGUGGGGAGCAAACAGG
rnacentral:rRNA from 1 species